CCGCUCACCAGGGCUCGGUCCCUCCAUGUGGUGCUGACCUCCCUGCCCUCUGUGAGCAAGAGAAACAGGACUGGUUUGGGGGUGUCCCAUCUGAGUGGACCUGGGAGACCACGGUUCUCAGUACAACA